CGCCGUUCCUUCGCCCUUAUCCGCUCAGCCGCCCUAGGUACAAAUCCAGCCGCUCGGCGUUGCCAUCUCCCUGUGCUCGAGCUCGCUGGCUUCUCCACGCGCCCCAGCCCCUGCUCAUCUUCUCCCUCAAGCUCGCCGUGGAGCUUCUUCCCCAGCCGAGCUCGCCGGCGUUGCUGGCCUCCAGCUCCUUCCUCUCCCUCUCGGUUCUCUGUUGGCCGGUGCUCUUCUCCUCCUCACGGUGCCUCCUCUGCUCCCUCCAGCUCGCGGUGCUCCCUCCCAUGGCGUCCAUCCGGCAGCACCUCGCCAAGGCCCCUGCUAGGACCGAGCGUCCUCACCCAUCGCUGCGCGCUCAGUUCCCAUGGCUGCUGUGCCCCCUGUUCCUCCAAACCGGCCGAGCCUCUCCCCCAAUCCGAGCUCACCCCAGCCAUAGCUCCCUCUGGUGAUCGAACCUUGCUAGCCGUCCCCGUCGAGCUUGCUGGACGCGCCACCAGCCGAGCUCGUCUCUGCGCGCCGGUCGCUUCUUCCCUGCGCAAGCCGACCCCAUGCCGUUGCGCGCCCAUCUUUCUCCCUCUCUGCUCGGCGGAUCGCACAGCUCCUGCGCGUGCACAGCCGAGCUGCUUCCCGCGCGCUGCUCUCUGUGCUCGCCUAGCCGUUUCUCUGCUCACCGGCGCGCCCUUCCUGCUGCCACGCCUGGUCUUCGUCUCUGUCGCGCCGAUCUGCGCUCGUCUGUGGCCAUCGAACCUGCCCAGCUCCUUGUUCGCCAUGGCCCUGGUCGUCGCAUCACUGUGCGCAGCGGAAGCGUGGUGGGUAUUGGUUGCGGGCAUGGUCGGGCGACACGAGAUCUGGGCACGCUGUCGUUUCAUUAUGCCCAGCGUCAUGCCUUUUGUGCCCGUCGUCGAUUUCCUGUUCACCACAACGCUGUCAUCCCCUGCCGUGCCCUGGAUGUCGUGCUCGUUAUGGUCGGCUCUGGUGGUCGGCAUCGUCGACCGUCGAUUCUGUCAAUAGCCACGUUGAUUCGUUAUUGUUCCGUACUCCGCGAGAAAGAAAUCUAGGGAAAUCUGGGUAAAGAAAAAGUGAACCCCAUUCAUCGCUUCCAUGGUGUGCUGAGAAAUGCUCCCACCGAACAUCGUCGUCAAUCUCACGAAUUCAGAUCGGGUUUAGGUACGCUAGUUGAUCGCGCGCGGAAGGCGAGCCAAAUCGACCCCAAGCGCGGGCUACUCCGCAUAGUGAAGCUGAUAGAUGAAUCUAAAGAUAGAUAAACUGAACAAGUGUCAGACCAAAAGCUGAUCGUCAAGCGGACGUCGUCUAACAACACUAACCUAGUGUUAUUCAGGUUACGAGUCACUUUGAUUGUGAUUGAUGUUAAGCGCCGGUGGGCACGACCUUCUUAUAAGUAUAAGUACUUCUUCUAUACUUCUUACUAAGGAUGGUCACUUAAGCUAGCAUAUAUUUCAAAACUAUAAAUAAUUAUAACAGUUCAAAUUUAUGUCUUUGAACCACUUUUCUAACCA
rnacentral:misc_RNA from 1 species